rnacentral:rRNA from 1 species
GGGGCGCAGCAGGCGCGAAACCUUUACACUGCACGCCAGUGCGAUAAGGGGAUCCCGAGUGCACAGGCAUAGAGCCUGUGCUUUUCUGAACCGUAGGGAGGUUCAGGAACAAGAGCUGGGCAAGACCGGUGCCAGCCGCCGCGGUAAUACCGGCAGCUCGAGUGAUGGCCGAUCUUAUUGGGCCUAAAGCGUCCGUAGCUGGCCUUGCAAGUCCGUCGGGAAAUCCACCCGCUCAACGGGUGGGCGUCCGGCGGAAACUGUGAGGCUUGGGACCGGGAGGCUUGAAGGGUACGUCCGGGGUAGGAGUGAAAUCCUGUAAUCCUGGACGGACCGCCGAUGGGGAAACCACUUCAAGAGAACGGAUCCGACAGUGAGGGACGAAAGCUAGGGUCUCGAACCGGAUUANAUACCCCCGUAGUCC